GGGCCAAUGGUCUAGUUGGUAUGAUAUUCGCUUCGCAUCAAAUGCCUUCUCUUACAAACGGCUUCAAAAUGUGACUGUGAAAGGUCCGGGGUUCAAUUCCCCGUUGGUCCA